AGGGGAGGACAACCCAAACCAGCAAGAACUGCUAAUUCAUGCAUCCCGAGCCUUAAACCUCGGUCCCCUU
rnacentral:tRNA from 1 species